AGAGAACUGGUGGUUUUUUAAGUACCUCAGGGAAGUUUAGUGUCUGCUCAGUUGAGAAUCAGCGUUCUACCCGGAAGGGCACUCGCAGCCUGGUCUGCUGUAAUGGUGGCUAUCCUGCUGAAGCUUGGAACUUCUGGACAAGAAAAGGCCUGGUUUCUGGUGGCCUCUAUGAAUCCCAUGUAGGAUACAAUUCCUACAGCGUCUCCAAUAGCGAGAGGGACAUCAUGGCCGAGAUCUACAAAAACGGCCCCGUGGAGGGAGCUUUCUCUGUGUAUUCGGACUUCCUGCUAUACAAGUCAGGAGUGUACCAACACGUCACCGGAGAGAUGAUGGGCGGCCAUGCCAUCCGCAUCCUGGGCUGGGGAGUGGAGAACGGCACACCCUACUGGCUGGUUGCCAACUCCUGGAACACUGACUGGGGUGACAAUG
rnacentral:sRNA from 1 species